rnacentral:rRNA from 1 species
UACGUAGGGUGCGAGCGUUGUCCGGAAUUGUUGGGCGUAAAGAGCUCGUAGGCGGUUCGAUAAGUCGGGUGUGAAACCUCCAGGCUCAACCUGGAGACGCCACCCGAUACUGUCGUGACUAGAGUCCAGUAGGGGAGCGUGGAAUUCCUGGUGUAGCGGUGAAAUGCGCAGAUAUCAGGAGGAACACCAGCGGCGAAGGCGGGUCUCUGGGCCGAAACUGACGCUGAGGAGCGAAAGCGUGGGGAGCGAACAGG